rnacentral:rRNA from 1 species
UACGUAGGGGGCUAGCGUUGUCCGGAAUCAUUGGGCGUAAAGCGCGUGUAGGCGGCCCGGUAAGUCCGCUGUGAAAGUCGGGGGCUCAACCCUCGGAAGCCGGUGGAUACUGUCGGGCUCGAGUACGGAAGAGGCGAGUGGAAUUCCUGGUGUAGCGGUGAAAUGCGCAGAUAUCAGGAAGAACACCCGUGGCGAAGGCGGCUCUCUGGGACGGUACUGACGCUGAGACGCGAAAGCGUGGGGAGCGAACAGG